rnacentral:rRNA from 1 species
AUUGAACGCUAGCGGGAUGCUUAACACAUGCAAGUCGAACGAGUGGCGGACGGGUGAGUAAUAUAUCGGAACGUGCCCAGCAGCGGGGGAUAACUACUCGAAAGAGUGGAUAAUAAUGCAAACUAGUGGAGCGGCCGAUAUCGGAUUAGCUAGGUGGUGGGGUAAAGGCUCACCAAGGCAACGAUCCGUAGCUGGUUGGAGAGGACGAACAGCCCCACUGGGACUGAGACACGGCCCAGACUCCUACGGGAGGCAGCAGUGGGGAAUUUUGGACAAGGGGGGAAACCCUGAUCCAGACAUCCCGCGUGUAUGAGAAGGCCUUCGGGUUGUAAAGGUCUUUUGGCAGAGAAGCGGUAUCUGCAGAAUAAGCACCGGCUAACUACGUGCCAGCAGCCGCGGUAAUAC